UACAGAGGUCUCAAGCGUUGUUCGGAUUCAUUGGGCGUAAAGGGUGCGUAGGCGGCGGGGCAAGUCAGGUGUGAAAUCCCGGAGCUCAACUCCGGAACUGCACUUGAUACUGCCUUGCUAGAGUACUGGAGAGGAGACUGGAAUUUACGGUGUAGCAGUGAAAUGCGUAGAUAUCGUAAGGAAGACCAGUGGCGAAGGCGAGUCUCUGGACAGUUACUGACGCUGAGGAGCGAAAGCGUGGGGAGCGAACAGG
rnacentral:rRNA from 1 species